GAUUUCCUGAGUUUAUCAGUUUGCUUCCUUUGCUGCUGCAGUGCAACUUUGAGCUUUGCACCUUUGGUCGAUUGAUCGAUUUUGUCGUUGAGGAAGCUUUUCAAAAACCGCGGUAAUGGCUUUGAAGCUUGGCGAUGCAGCGCCUUCGUUCGUGGCCGAUUCCACUCACGGCAAGAUCGAUUUCCACCAGUACAUUACUGGUUCGUGGGCAAUUCUCUUCUCCCACCCGAACGACUUCACUCCUGUUUGCACUACCGAGCUCGGAGCCGUCGGGAAGUUUUUGCCGGAGUUUGAGAAGCGGGGGGUUAAGGUGAUCGCGUUAUCGUGCAACGAUGUGGAGUCGCACAAGGGUUGGAUUGCGGACAUUGAGAGCUUCACCCCAGGGGCGAAAGUAAGCUACCCUAUCUUGGCCGAUCCGACGCGGGAGCUCGCUGUGAAGUUUGGGAUGCUGGACCCUGAUGAAAUUGAUGCCAAGGGCAUUCCGUUGACGGCGAGGGCAGUGUAUGUUUUCGGUCCUGACAAGAAGCUGAAGCUGUCGAUCUUGUACCCUGCCACCACCGGGCGGAACUUCAAUGAGGUUUUGCGUGUGAUCGACUCGCUUCAGCUCACUGCGAAUUACAGCGUUGCGACUCCUGUGAACUGGAAUCAGGGAGACAAGUGUAUGGUUGUGCCGUCCCUCUCUAACGAUGCCGCUACGGCGAAGUUCCCGAAGGGUUUCGAGACAGUGGAAGUGCCUUCUGGAAAGAGCUACAUUCGUCUCACUCCUCAGCCUAACGUAGAUUGACGUGGUACAGAUCUCGUGAAGGUAUAGUCAAAAUGGAUUGAUGUUCUUGUUGAAUUGUAAUGGCAUCUGCAGGAUGUGGAUCCACCUGAGCGGGCAUCUUGUAGGUCUUGGAAUUUUGUCGAUAAUGUGAAGGUGUUCUUUAUAACCCGGUUUUUUUUAUAAUGCUUUGUGUUACUUCUGGGGAUCUAGUCACAUUUGAACUUGGUGAAGGCGACUAGCUAUUUUCUGUACCUCGAUUUCAGUUAGUACCGAUAUUGCCAUGUUACUUUGAAACCGUGUACGUACUUCAUGCCCCAGCUGAUUAUGUAGUUCUUUUGUUAACAUUCUUCCUUUCUCACAACGGAAA